rnacentral:rRNA from 1 species
UACGUAGGAUGCAAGCGUUGUCCGGAAUUAUUGGGCGUAAAGCGAACGUAGGCGGCCUUUUAAGUUUGGUCUUAAAGACCAGGGCUCAACCCUGGGAAUGGACUGAAUACUGGGAGGCUGGAGGAUGUCAGAGGAAGGUGGAAUUCCGAGUGUAGCGGUGAAAUGCGUAGAUAUUCGGAGGAACACCGGUGGCGAAAGCGACCUUCUGGGGCAUUCCUGACGCUGAGGUUCGAAAGCUCGGGGAGCAAACAGG